rnacentral:ribozyme from 1 species
UGCCCAGCAACUCCUAUCCCUACCUCCACGCGGUACCGGCCGGAAACUAUGAGCAAUCUUAGGGAAGAUCGGGUAACCAACCCCGGUGGGACCUUUGGUCGUAGGCUGACAGGGAAGG